rnacentral:tRNA from 1 species
GGAGAGAUGGCAGAGCGGUCUAAUGCGGCGGUCUUGAAAACCGUUGUCCUUCACGGGACCAGGGUUCGAAUCCCUUUCUCUCCG